UCACUAGUUAUAGGGAAGGGCUGAUGAGGGAACGCUGUGCUUUUGCUAGAGGAACAUGGCUUCUGCCCACCUGUAGUCUGGCAAGGAGGAGACUGGAGGAAUCAUACCUCCAACUCUCUUUCCUCUCACUCUGUCAUCUCCUGCCCGCGCAUCUUAGCUGAACCCAACUCACACCAGGAACAAGGUGGCCUAGUUGAUACAGUCCGUAAGGCCAGCCUCUGGGGCCACAGAACAUGGUGGAGAGGAAUGAGGAUGGAUUGUGGCGUGGAAGGAGAACAUCUGUCAAGUCACUAGGAUGCAUCUCUAAAAAUGUGAAAGACAUUUUCUGUUCCAUACACACGAAAACCUCGCUUCCUCAGGAAUGAACAAAACCUUUUCAUUGGUGUUGAGAGGGAGUAAGGGAAUAUGCUGGAAGUGAAAGCGGGGAUUGAAGGCCAUUUUACUGGGCACCCGUGGCUGAAGAAUGGAAAAAAAAUCAUCAAUUAGGAAAGGGAGAAAACAAAGGGGUUUGGAGCCAAGAAAGAAGGAAGAAAAAUGUAUUAAGAGGAAGAAAGAAUAAAGAAAUACAAAAAAGAAGAAAUAUCAGGCUCACUCGGGUACAAUUAAAGAAACAUACUUGAACCUGACAUACUUUCUUAUGGUAACAGACAAAAAAUAUAUUUAUUGGUGGUUCCUAAGUGAAAAUAUACUGCAGGAUUUUAUUUUUAUUUUUUUUAAGAUUGGUCAAAAAACUCAAAGAAAAAUAUUUUUUGAGUCCUAUUUUUCUAAAGACUGUGGUGUUCUGAUCAGUCAGAUAAGGAGAAUUUACUGCCUAAAAUCAAGCAGCAGGAAUCUGUUCUUUCCCGAAGUCCUGUAGCUACAUAAAACUGACCUCCUAAGCAGUACUUCCUUGUCUCUUUUUAAUGAAUAAAUCUACGUUCUAGGAAAAUUGAUGAUUGCUUCCAGACAUGUGUGGGAGUCCAGAAUAUGCCACUCCAAAAGAAAGAAGAUUGUUGAGCUGAAGAAAAUUAAGAAGGAAGAGAUGCAGGAAAGCUCUCUGCCCCCCAUUUGCUUAAAUGCAGGACAGAGAUUGACAAAGAUGAAGAGCAUCCUGUCCCUUUCUCUUACCAGGGAGAGCAAAGGUUAACCACUGAAGACAGUUUUAGACCAUUAUCUGCUGGGUGUUGGAACCAGAGGAAAUCUACCUGAACAUGCUUUACCAACUUGCUUUUAUCUGCCAGUUAGUUGCUUCCCCACCAAGAAGCCCCCUCUAGAGACCCACAGUCCUUUUCCUUUGUCCUGUCACUUCUCUAAAAAUCAUUAUUCUUUGUUGAAGAUGCUGUACAAGCUGGAAUUCAAAGCUACUUCUUUGAGAACUACUUCCCUGGGUGUCUCUUAUGUAGACGU